rnacentral:rRNA from 1 species
GACGAACGCUGGCGGCGUGCCUAAUACAUGCAAGUCGAGCGAAUCAAUAGGAGCUUGCUCCUGUUGGUUAGCGGCGGACGGGUGAGUAACACGUGGGAAACCUGCCUGUAAGACUGGGAUAACUUCGGGAAACCGGAGCUAAUACCGGAUAAUCCUUUUCCACUCAUGUGGAAAAGCUGAAAGUCGGUUUCGGCUGACACUUACAGAUGGGCCCGCGGCGCAUUAGCUAGUUGGGGGGGUAACGGCUCACCAAGGCGACGAUGCGUAGCCGACCUGGGAGGGUGAUCGGCCACACUGGGACUGAGACACGGCCCAGACUCCUACGGGAGGCAGCAGUAGGGAAUCUUCCGCAAUGGACGAAAGUCUGACGGAGCAACGCCGCGUGAGCGAUGAAGGCCUUCGGGUCGUAAAGCUCUGUUGUUAGGGAAGAACAAGUAUCGGAGUAACUGCCGGUACCUUGACGGUACCUAACCAGAAAGCCACGGCUAACUACGUGCCAGCCGCCGCAGUAAAAC